rnacentral:rRNA from 1 species
UACGUAGGGUGCGAGCGUUGUCCGGAAUUAUUGGGCGUAAAGGGCUCGUAGGCGGUUUGUCGCGUCGGGAGUGAAAACCAGGUGCUUAACACCUGGCUUGCUUUCGAUACGGGCAGACUAGAGGUAUGCAGGGGAGACUGGAAUUCCUGGUGUAGCGGUGAAAUGCGCAGAUAUCAGGAGGAACACCGGUGGCGAAGGCGGGUCUCUGGGCAAUAACUGACGCUGAGGAGCGAAAGCGUGGGGAGCGAACAGG